rnacentral:lncRNA from 1 species
AACGCAGAGGUGGGGGACAGAGUGGGUGGGGAGGGGAGCCGCCAUACAGUGGCCAGGACCAGCUUUGCCCAAGUGGUGGCAACCGCAUGACCACAGGAACGAUGGCGUGAGCCCCAUGGCAACCUGGAGGAAGGGCCAAGCCACUGGUGAAUAUGCUGCAAAAAAUAUGCUGGAACUUCUAUGAAUACCACAGGGUGUCAGAAGAAAACAUUAGAACUUCUAUUUUGUACCUGUCUUACUCCACAACGAGAAAGCAAUCAGCUUGAUCAAUGCCUACUGUAAAGACGGCACCGCCCUCUGGAGGUCCUUUCUCAGCCCUGGUGUUCGGACAGCCACAUCCCCUUGCAGCAGGGGGAGGCCUGAAGCAUAGAGGGGCCCACGCAGGUCUAUUCUGUUUCAGCGAAUUGCCUGGGAAAUAAUCCAGGAUCCGUUUCGUGUGGUCAUCUUGUCUCCCUGGUCCCCUCCAGCCUUUCCUCAUCUUUUGUGACCUGGUCACUCUGGAAGGGUGCUGGCCGGUUAGUCCACAGGAUGGGCCUCCCGUGGGGCUUUUCUGAUGCUUCCUUAUGAUGGCACUGGCAUCCUGA